UUAAGCGACUAAGCGUACACGGUGGAUGCCCUGGCAGUCAGAGGCGAUGAAGGACGUGCUAAUCUGCGAUAAGCGUCGGUGAGGUGAUAUGAACCGUUUAACCGGCGAUUUCCGAAUGGGGAAACCCAGUGUGUUUCGACACACUAUCAUUAACUGAAUCCAUAGGUUAAUGAGGCGAACCGGGGGAACUGAAACAUCUAAGUACCCCGAGGAAAAGGAAUCAACCGAGAUUCCCCCAGUAGCGGCGAGCGAACGGGGAGGAGCCCAGAGCCUGAAUCAGUGUGUGUGUUAGUGGAAGCGUCUGGAAAGGCGCGCGAUACAGGGUGACAGCCCCGUACACAAAAAUGCACAUAUUGUGAGCUCGAUGAGUAGGGCGGGACACGUGGUAUCCUGUCUGAAUAUGGGGGGACCAUCCUCCAAGGCUAAAUACUCCUGACUGACCGAUAGUGAACCAGUACCGUGAGGGAAAGGCGAAAAGAACCCCGGCGAGGGGAGUGAAAAAGAACCUGAAACCGUGUACGUACAAGCAGUGGGAGCCUCUUAAUGGGGUGACUGCGUACCUUUUGUAUAAUGGGUCAGCGACUUAUAUUCUGUAGCAAGGUUAACCGAAUAGGGGAGCCGAAGGGAAACCGAGUCUUAACUGGGCGUUAAGUUGCAGGGUAUAGACCCGAAACCCGGUGAUCUAGCCAUGGGCAGGUUGAAGGUUGGGUAACACUAACUGGAGGACCGAACCGACUAAUGUUGAAAAAUUAGCGGAUGACUUGUGGCUGGGGGUGAAAGGCCAAUCAAACCGGGAGAUAGCUGGUUCUCCCCGAAAGCUAUUUAGGUAGCGCCUCGUGAAUUCAUCUCCGGGGGUAGAGCACUGUUUCGGCAAGGGGGUCAUCCCGACUUACCAACCCGAUGCAAACUGCGAAUACCGGAGAAUGUUAUCACGGGAGACACACGGCGGGUGCUAACGUCCGUCGUGAAGAGGGAAACAACCCAGACCGCCAGCUAAGGUCCCAAAGUCAUGGUUAAGUGGGAAACGAUGUGGGAAGGCCCAGACAGCCAGGAUGUUGGCUUAGAAGCAGCCAUCAUUUAAAGAAAGCGUAAUAGCUCACUGGUCGAGUCGGCCUGCGCGGAAGAUGUAACGGGGCUAAACCAUGCACCGAAGCUGCGGCAGCGACACUAUGUGUUGUUGGGUAGGGGAGCGUUCUGUAAGCCUGUGAAGGUGGCCUGUGAGGGUUGCUGGAGGUAUCAGAAGUGCGAAUGCUGACAUAAGUAACGAUAAAGCGGGUGAAAAGCCCGCUCGCCGGAAGACCAAGGGUUCCUGUCCAACGUUAAUCGGGGCAGGGUGAGUCGACCCCUAAGGCGAGGCCGAAAGGCGUAGUCGAUGGGAAACAGGUUAAUAUUCCUGUACUUGGUGUUACUGCGAAGGGGGGACGGAGAAGGCUAUGUUGGCCGGGCGACGGUUGUCCCGGUUUAAGCGUGUAGGCUGGUUUUCCAGGCAAAUCCGGAAAAUCAAGGCUGAGGCGUGAUGACGAGGCACUACGGUGCUGAAGCGACAAAUGCCCUGCUUCCAGGAAAAGCCUCUAAGCAUCAGGUAACAUCAAAUCGUACCCCAAACCGACACAGGUGGUCAGGUAGAGAAUACCAAGGCGCUUGAGAGAACUCGGGUGAAGGAACUAGGCAAAAUGGUGCCGUAACUUCGGGAGAAGGCACGCUGAUAUGUAGGUGAAGCGACUUGCUCGUGGAGCUGAAAUCAGUCGAAGAUACCAGCUGGCUGCAACUGUUUAUUAAAAACACAGCACUGUGCAAACACGAAAGUGGACGUAUACGGUGUGACGCCUGCCCGGUGCCGGAAGGUUAAUUGAUGGGGUUAGCGGUAACGCGAAGCUCUUGAUCGAAGCCCCGGUAAACGGCGGCCGUAACUAUAACGGUCCUAAGGUAGCGAAAUUCCUUGUCGGGUAAGUUCCGACCUGCACGAAUGGCGUAAUGAUGGCCAGGCUGUCUCCACCCGAGACUCAGUGAAAUUGAACUCGCUGUGAAGAUGCAGUGUACCCGCGGCAAGACGGAAAGACCCCGUGAACCUUUACUAUAGCUUGACACUGAACAUUGAGCCUUGAUGUGUAGGAUAGGUGGGAGGCUUUGAAGUGUGGACGCCAGUCUGCAUGGAGCCGGCCUUGAAAUACCACCCUUUAAUGUUUGAUGUUCUAACGUGGGCCCCUUACCGGGGUUGCGGACAGUGUCUGGUGGGUAGUUUGACUGGGGCGGUCUCCUCCUAAAGAGUAACGGAGGAGCACGAAGGUUGGCUAAUCCUGGUCGGACAUCAGGAGGUUAGUGCAAUGGCAUAAGCCAGCUUGACUGCGAGCGUGACGGCGCGAGCAGGUGCGAAAGCAGGUCAUAGUGAUCCGGUGGUUCUGAAUGGAAGGGCCAUCGCUCAACGGAUAAAAGGUACUCCGGGGAUAACAGGCUGAUACCGCCCAAGAGUUCAUAUCGACGGCGGUGUUUGGCACCUCGAUGUCGGCUCAUCACAUCCUGGGGCUGAAGUAGGUCCCAAGGGUAUGGCUGUUCGCCAUUUAAAGUGGUACGCGAGCUGGGUUUAGAACGUCGUGAGACAGUUCGGUCCCUAUCUGCCGUGGGCGCUGGAGAACUGAGGGGGGCUGCUCCUAGUACGAGAGGACCGGAGUGGACGCAUCACUGGUGUUCGGGUUGUCAUGCCAAUGGCACUGCCCGGUAGCUAAAUGCGGAAGAGAUAAGUGCUGAAAGCAUCUAAGCACGAAACUUGCCCCGAGAUGAGUUCUCCCUGACCCUUUAAGGGUCCUGAAGGAACGUUGAAGACGACGACGUUGAUAGGCCGGGUGUGUAAGCGCAGCGAUGCGUUGAGCUAACCGGUACUAAUGAACCGUGAGGCUUAACCUU
rnacentral:rRNA from 1 species